GUAGGGGGCGAGCGUUGUCCGGAUUUACUGGGCGUAAAGCGCGUGUAGGCGGGGGGGCAAGUCGGACGUGAAAGGCUUCGGCUCAACCGGAGACGGUCGUUCGAAACUGCCCUUCUUGAGGGUCGAAGAGGAGAGUGGAAUUCCCGGUGUAGCGGUGAAAUGCGUAGAGAUCGGGAGGAACACCCGUGGCGAAGGCGGCUCUCCGGUCGGCUACUGACGCUGAGACGCGAAAGCGUGGGGAGCGAACGGGAUUAGAUACCCCGGUAGUCCACGCCGUAAACGAUGGUCACUAGGUGUCUGCGGUAUCGACCCCGCAGGUGCCGUCGCUAACGCAAUAAGUGACCCGCCUGGGAGUACGGCCGCAAGGUUG
rnacentral:rRNA from 1 species